CCAGGGACUCCAGGAUCAUGAGCUGAGCCAGAGGCAGACACUGAACCACUGAGCCACCCAGAGAGAGACAGAGCGUGAGCAGAGGGAUGGGCAGAGGAAGAGAGAAAGAGAGAGAAUCCUCAAGCAGACCGCCCAGUGAGCCCGAAGCCCAGCACAAGGCUCCAUCUCACCACCCUGAGAUCAUGACCUGAACCUAAAUCAGAAGUCUGACGCUACCCAACUGAGACACCCAGGUAGUGUAACCUCAUUAUGAAAAAUAAAGAUGCUCAAUGUAUAGCAGCAAGUUAAAGAAUCAUAACCUGGAACUGAGCAGAGUUAUGACCGGUUAGCACAAAUCCUCCAGGAAUGAGAUGAACAUCAUGGAAUCAUUUAUCGAAGACCUCUGGAUUCAUGUUGCAGUUUCAGUUACCUGUGGUCAGCCGUGGUCCAGAAGCAGGUGAUCUUCCUUCUGACUUAUUGUCAGAAGAUCAGAAGUGGCCUAAUGCUACAUCACGAUGCCUAGUCAUUCAGCUUGCCUUGUCUCAUCAGUCACAGAGAGAGAGAGGCAGAGACACAGGCAGAGGGAGAAGCAGGCUCCAUGCACCGGG